UACGGAGGGUGCGAGCGUUGUCCGGAAUCAUUGGGCGUAAAGCGCGCGUAGGCGGCCCGGUAAGUCCGUUGUGAAAGUCAAAGGCUCAACCUUUGAACGCCGAUGGAUACUGCCGGGCUAGAGUCCGGAAGAGGCGAGUGGAAUUCCUGGUGUAGCGGUGGAAUGCGCAGAUAUCAGGAGGAACACCAAUAGCGAAGGCAGCUCGCUGGGACGGUACUGACGCUGAGGCGCGAAAGCGUGGGGAGCAAACAGG
rnacentral:rRNA from 1 species